AAACUAACUUAAAAGUAACUUUUCAGCAAGAUAUUGGAUCUUGUUUUAAGUCAAUAAUUCCUUAAUAUUAAUGAGAAACGUCAAGUUUCAGUUGCUGCCUUUUGAAAAUAAAUUAGCUUAAUGGAAACACUGCAGUUUUUAUCUCUGUAUUGAAAUUGGUUAAUUUGGGAAAACUGUAAUGAAAAUUUUGUUUUUGGAUCACGAGUCACACGAUCAACAAUCGGAUGUUACCACUGUCAGAAACCACGAAGAAGACCACAGGAAGUAGUUGGAGGAUGAUGCCACGGCAUAGUUUUUAAUGAUUUGUUGCUUGAACAAACACCGCAAUUGUGAAAUUGUGUUUUUUGACUUUAAAGCACAUUUGUAAUAAAAUUUCACUAAUAACAUGAAAUAAUCUUCCAGUUAAACUAGAACUUCUCCAUCAAUAUUAAGGGAUUAUCGACUUAAAACAAGCUCUUAUAUCUCUCUAAAAGUUACUUGUAAUUUAGUUUUGUCUUAUUUCGGGUGUGUAAAUAUAUUUGCACUAGAAACUUAACCAGAAAACUUGGCAAUAUUUUGUGUUUUUGCAGUGCAUUUGUAACUGUACGAUUUGUCCCUAUAUAAAUGUAUUCCUUCUCCUUUUCA